rnacentral:rRNA from 1 species
CGGGUGAGUAACACGUGGAUAACCUACCUAUAAGACUGGGAUAACUUCGGGAAACCGGAGCUAAUACCGGAUAAUAUAUUGAACCGCAUGGUUCAAUAGUGAAAGACGGUUUUGCUGUCACUUAUAGAUGGAUCCGCGCUGCAUUAGCUAGUUGGUAAGGUAACGGCUUACCAAGGCAACGAUGCGUAGCCGACCUGAGAGGGUGAUCGGCCACACUGGAACUGAGACACGGUCCAGACUCCUACGGGAGGCAGCAGCC